rnacentral:misc_RNA from 1 species
AAGUCGUAACAAGGUAACCGUAGGUGAACCUGCGGUUGGAUCAUUAACAAAGAUUGCAAAUGCGAGGGGAUGCAUCCCUGCCGCAUGCUGCAGCUUUCACUUUUUGUUCACUGUAUUGUCUCUGGCGGGCGGACGGGCGCAAGCCUGUCUGUCAGUUCUCGGAUGCAAAACCUUUGCUUCUGGGGACCGUGGACAAUCCGCCAAACGAAAACACACUCUGUGUCUUAACACUUUGGCUGAGCGUCCUUGCAUGCAUUUGAUUUGCAUACAAGUUUGCAACAACUUUUGGCAACGGAUCUCUUGGCUCUC